GAUGAACGCUAGCGGCAGGCCUAACACAUGCGAGUCGAGGGGUAGAAGGAGCUUGCUCCUUUGAGACCGGCGCACGGGUGCGUAACGCGUAUGCAAUCUACCUUGUACAGGGGAAUAGCCCAGAGAAAUUUGGAUUAAUGCCCCAUAGUAUAUAACCUUCGCAUGUUGGUUAUAUUAAAGUUCCAACGGUACAAGAUGAGCAUGCGUCCCAUUAGUUAGUUGGUAAGGUAACGGCUUACCAAGACGAUGAUGGGUAGGGGUCCUGAGAGGGAGAUCCCCCACACUGGUACUGAGACACGGACCAGACUCCUACGGGAGGCAGCAGUGAGGAAUAUUGGUCAAUGGUCGCAAGACUGAACCAGCCAUGCCGCGUGCAGGAAGGCGGUCCUAUGGAUGGUAAACUGCUUUUAUACAGGAAGAAACCCUCCCACGUGUGGGAGCUUGACGGUACUGUAGGAAUAAGGAUCGGCUAACUCCGUG
rnacentral:rRNA from 1 species